UCUGCAGAUGAGCUAACCCUUCCCCACCACCACCACAACACCGUUUACAAGAAAAGAGAAGACUAUCAGAAGAAAGUCGUCCCGAUGUGACUGAAAAAUACUGCCCCCGCCUCACCUGAACCCCAACGCGAAGGCUGGGUCCUCCAAGCAUGCGGCCCACCGGAUUGAGACACGGCUACAGGUGGACACCAGGUCUGGUGGCUGCAGGGCUGACAAGGGACAGCUGGAGCUUAUCAGGGGGAGGCAGACAACCAAAAGCAGCGAGAAAACACACAAAGGCGAGAGAGAGAGAGACACCCGCCCGCCCACCGGUAGCAGCAAGACAAAGAAAAAGAUGAAGAAAACUAAAAAUCUGGUUGACACUUGAGAUCAAGUCCUACCACUGAAUGUCUUUUAACAUCAAAAGAAACUUCUUUCCAUACUGUUAACAUCUGUAUUCUUGUCGGGAGGCAAUUGAACCGUGUUGUAAUUUACUGACGAGUAUGUGCGCAGCAGACCGCAAUUAUAUCUGUAACGGCAUUAGAAAUGAAUAAAAUCUUAAAUACAAUAGACUAAAAUGAAGAAUUUCACAUUAAUGUGCUGUUCACUGACAGAAACGCGGUUGAAAUGAAUCUUUUGAAUAUCCAAAUGUUUGCUUUGAGCUGUGAGCUUUCUGAUGGAGUUUACAGACUGGUGAGCUAUGAAGGCUUCCUUUUUUCCCUCUUUGACAGCUCCGUAGUGAAUUACAUGAUGUACGAGUUACAUGAUGUACAAAGAAAACAGGGUUCGACACAGCAACCCGUGAGGGAAUUUACAAUAUUACUGCACCGAAUGACGAUUAACAAACAUG